GAUGAACGCUAGCUACAGGCUUAACACAUGCAAGUCGAGGGGAAACGAUAUUGGAAGCUUGCUUCCGAUAGGCGUCGACCGGCGCACGGGUGAGUAACGCGUAUCCAACCUGCCCACCACUUGGGAAUAACCUUGCGAAAGUAAGACUAAUACCCAAUGAUAUCUCUAGAAGACAUCUGAAGGAGAUUAAAGAUUUAUCGGUGAUGGAUGGGGAUGCGUCUGAUUAGCUUGUUGGCGGGGUAACGGCCCACCAAGGCGACGAUCAGUAGGGGUUCUGAGAGGAAGGUCCCCCACAUUGGAACUGAGACACGGUCCAAACUCCUACGGGAGGCAGCAGUGAGGAAUAUUGGUCAAUGGGCGAGAGCCUGAACCAGCCAAGUAGCGUGCAGGAUGACGGCCCUAUGGGUUGUAAACUGCUUUUAUAAGGGAAUAAAGUGAGUCUCGUGAGACUUUUUGCAUGUACCUUAUGAAUAAGGACCGGCUAAUUCCGUGCCAGCAGCCGCCGCGG
rnacentral:rRNA from 1 species